UUUAAAAUCGAAAGUAGACCAGAGCGCAUGCUCGAUUUGCGAAUUCUACUCCACGUUCGCUUCUGCUAUCACAAGAAUGAAAGUUGGGUAGUGAGUUUUCUUAUGAAUAGGUCAUAUUGAAGGCGUGUCAUCGAAAUAUACAUGUACUGACCAUGUUGCCCUGGGUGAGAUGUCUGCUAGUCCUUGUACUACUGGUCAUUCUUGGACCUUUCCCAAGUUACAUGUCCAGUGAUCCUGUUGCUGAAGGAGAUGACGGAUACAUUGAUCCCUUUGAUAUGGAAAAUUUCCAUCAUCCAUCCAAUCCAAGGCCUGUUCAGCAUCAACAAAAGGUAUUAUUGCUCUCUUUUAGGUUUGGGCUACUCACUUCAGGUAGGUUAUUAUAUUU